UAGCAGCCCACUCCAUUCUUGGAUGCUUAUAUUGGGUAUAGCAGGAUAAUCUCCACAUCUCAAGAUCUUCAGUAAUACUUACAAAAUGUUCAUUUUGCCAUUUAAGGGAUCAUCUGCUGGUUCCAAGGAUUAGGAUAUACGUGGAGGACCAUCAUUUGGCCUACCUUCCAUCCAUGUAUGUCAACUUGGUCACUAAAAGGGGAUCUCCAAAAGAGAUGGAACAUAGGAUUGUUUGUAAGGGUUGGCACGGGGGCAAUGGCUAGAGUUUUGCUACCUGGAAUCUUUCAUAGUAUGUUUCCUGUCUUCGGAUUACACAGCAGUAAUCGUUCGGCGUCUUUGGGCACCUGUUCAAACCUUUAAUUUAUGUGACAAACUCACAGUUAACAUUUUUCUUUUCCAAACAGUGUCAAGGCCAUGCUGCUGCCUUGCCUGCUUGUCCCCAGCCCAGUUUUCCUUUGUAUGAGGCUCACCUCCCAACAACGGAUGGCAUGAGGGUCCAAUGGCACAGAAGGCUCUUGGGUACUGCAUUCAGAUAUAGGGGUUCCCUCAUCUCCUUCAUCCAUUCAUGCUUCCCCAGAGCCUCCGCACAGUCUUGACCUACCUACUUUCCUUGCGGCCAGCUUCCCUUUCCUGGACCCCAACCUAAGAAAAUAACCUAUCAUGCAGCUCUGGCUCCUACCCAUCCCAUUGGCUCUGCCAUAUUUCUGGGUCCUGCCUAGCACAUACUGGUGUCAGCUUAGGGGUGACUCCUGCUUUCAGUGUUUGAUUCCCCGAGUUAGCCCCAGGGAGACCCAAGGAGAAGGGAAACAUCCCCAGGUAGUGGAGGUCUGUACACCAAAAGAACCCUUUUUCAUAUCCAGCAGGUAAGGUGCCAAUCAAUCCCACAGUACAACUGUCACUCCAGUAAGACUGGCAGUGACUCCUCACAGUGCAAGACUGCUCCUCAAACUAAAAUGUUUCCGUUAUUGCUUCAUUGAAGUAUUACACGUACCAGAAAACUUGUGCACUUAUAGUAUACGGUUCAGUGUUUACCAUACAGCAUUUAGAGCUGUGCCUCUGUCACUCCAGUCUUGUUUUAAGAUACUGUCAGUGUCACAGAGAAGUGAAGCUUAAACAUUAGCAGUCAUUGCCUGCUCCUGUCACAGCUUAUGCCUCUGGAAAAUAUCUUCUGUGCACACCAGGUGUGCACUGUGUCAUACGUCAACACUUUCUUCCCUAGUCCUGUUGUGUUGUGUGAAGGGGCUUUCAGUCCCUCUAUUGGUUGAUGGAAUUGUGUAAUUGCACCCUGGUUAUUGUGAAUAGAGUAAUGUUGUUCUAACGUUAUAUCCAGGUUUUUAUGUUUCACUUCUCAUGGGUACAUGCCUAGGGGCCGAGCAAAGCUCCCUGCUAGGCCAUGUGAUAAUCCUGCUGAUCAAACUGUCUCCAACGUGCUUACACUACACUUUACACUUGCCAGUUUCUGCACACCUUUAACAUAAUUACUGUCUUGUUUCAGAUUUUGGCUUUCUGAAGCAGGCUUUCAUGUCUGGCAUAGAACUCACAAUCCUAGCUGACCGUGACCUUCCUGCCUCCACCUCCCAAGUAUCAAGGUUACAGGCAUGUGUCACCAUGUACAGUUUUCAUGGAAUCUGUCUUUGUGAUUAUUGUUAUCCCAGAGUAAAGUGGUCUCUUUUAUGGUCUUGAUUUUCUUUUUCCUGAUGACUAAUGAUGUAUUUGUUUCUUGUCUUUAUAUUUGCUUUGAAGAAAUGGCUAUUUAAAAUUCCCCUCCCCUCUGGUGUUUUGAGCCAGGAUCUUGCUGUAUAGCCCUGGCUGGCCUAGAACUCACUACAUAGAUCAGGCUGGCCAUGAGUUUGAAAUACUGCUCCUGCCUGUUUGUCAAAUCUUUUGCUCUCUGUUGUUUUCCAGCAGGAGUCUUUGCUCUGUAGCUUAGGCUGGCUGGGCUUACAGCAGUCUUCUUGCCUCAGCCUUGAGUCCUGGGUUUACAAAUGUGAGCCACCAUAACUAUCUCUGUGGCCCUUUUAAAAUGGGCUAUCAUUUUUUAUUGCUGGGUUUUAAGAAUUCUUUAAAUAUUCUGGGAUGAAGUCCUUAUGAUGAAGUCCUUGAAAACAGUUUCUCCCAUUCUUUGGAAAUACAUUCUUGUGUAAUUGUUUUGUUUUUGCAGUGAGGGUUGAUACAAUCUCCAGCAUAACUCAGGCUAGCCUCAAACUUGCAAUCCUCCUGUCCUAACCAGGAUGGGAUGACAGAUGUACACGCGUGCCCAGCGGUACAUAUCUGUAAUGAAAACAGCUGUUACUUGUCAAAAUACAAGGAACCAAAUUCUCUGUUUCUAAAUUGCCAGUGUAAAGUAGCCUGACAUCCCUGUGAUUUAAUGAAAUUAAGGACCCUUGGAGCACAAUUUCUAUCAUUCCUCCAAGCCUGUUGGGUCACAUCACCCACAGACUUCCCUGUGCCAGUCAUGCAUGGCUUGUGGUUCCUAAGGAAAAUUUAAAUAUCUAUUAAAAUAGUUCUAUUAGUCUUUGGAAUAAACAUUUUCCCACUGAAAUAAAGAUGGUAUUGAUUACUUCAUAAGC
rnacentral:lncRNA from 1 species